UCCCUCCUAAACGGAUAGAGCAGGCGCUCCUAGAAAAUUCCCAGCCUUAUCCUGUGCAUGUGUUCAAAUCCCUGGAAACCUGUGCGUCUCCUCUGAUGCGCGUUCAGCUCCUCCUCUCAGCUCAUGCACGCCAACUUCCAGGCCUUUCACCACUGCCAAUCAAAUCUCUCGCUCGACGCUGGUCACACGCACCACGCACGCCCAGCCGAGCUCCUGCUUCCCUCUCCCGCGGUGCCUGGCUUCCUCCAAGCUCGCCCCCAACCACAACCACGCCCUGGUCCGCGCUCCAGCCCUCCCCAUCCUCCUCUUGCUAUGGUGCCCAGCCGAGCUCUCUCCCCUUCCUGCCAUGGCCGACGCCCCUCCCUGCUGUAGCUCGAUGCCCUCCCCUGCAGCAAGCAGUGCCCUCCCCUUUCUGCAGCAAGUGGGUGCCCCCAGCCCCUCCUUUGUUCCCAUGGCCGGCCACCUCUGCUGCUUCCAUGGUGAUCUCUAAAUCCCUUUGUUGUUUUACUAGUUCUUGUUAAUACCCUGCUGAUGUGAGGUUUUAUGUGUGUUGAUGUGUGCGAUAUGGAGUAAAAUCCUUGGAGAAUUAGGUGGAGAAGAAGGUUAAGUUCAACACUCAUUAGGUGUUCGAUGAUAUGCUCGAACUGGUGGCCGUCUUCGUUCUUGCUGAAAUCGAGUCGGAGCAUGAUGUGGUUCGUUACACGUGAUGCGAAGGACAAGAGCCGAGUUGAUCCCAAAAUGAUGCUA